rnacentral:rRNA from 1 species
UACGAAGGGGGCUAGCGUUGCUCGGAAUUACUGGGCGUAAAGGGCGCGUAGGCGGAUGGUACAGUCAGACGUGAAAUUCCUGGGCUCAACCUGGGGGCUGCGUUUGAUACGUGCUGUCUGGAGUUCGGAAGAGGGUCGUGGAAUUCCCAGUGUAGAGGUGAAAUUCGUAGAUAUUGGGAAGAACACCGGUGGCGAAGGCGGCGACCUGGUCCGAUACUGACGCUGAGGCGCGAAAGCGUGGGGAGCAAACAGG